rnacentral:rRNA from 1 species
AACAUAGCCAUCAGACGAUAUUGUAUGGUUUAACCUGCCCAAUGUUAAAAUAAAUGGCCGCGGUAUCCUGACCGUGCUAAGGUAGCGUAAUCAGUUGACUUUUAAAUGAAGUCAGGAAUGAAUGGAAGAACUGGGUUUGGCUGUCUUAGGGUUAUUUUAUUGAAUUUACUAUUCAGGUGAAAAAGCUUGAGUUUAGAAAAGGGACGAGAAGACCCUUAGAAUUUUUUUGAAGGCUAAUCCUGUUAGCUAUUAUUUUAUUGGGGCGAUAGAGAAAUAUUUAAAACUUUCUUUGAGGAGACACACCGAUUAUAUUAAAAAAGAAGAAAUUACCUGAGGGAUAACAGCAUAAUCUUAUAUUUAGGUUUGUGACCUCGAUGUUGGACUAGGAAACCAGUAGGCUAGCCGUUUACUGUGUUAGGUUCUGUUCGAACUUAUAUUCCU